rnacentral:rRNA from 1 species
UACGUAGGGGGCAAGCGUUGUCCGGAUUUAUUGGGCGUAAAGAGCGUGUAGGCGGCUGGGUAGGUCCGUUGUGAAAACUCGAGGCUCAACCUCGAGACGCCGAUGGAAACCCUCCAGCUAGAGUCCGGAAGAGGAGAGUGGAAUUCCUGGUGUAGCGGUGAAAUGCGCAGAUAUCAGGAAGAACACCUGUGGCUAAGGCGGCUCUCUAGUACGGUACUGACGCUGAGACGCGAAAGCGUGGGGAGCAAACAGG